GAUGAACGCUGGCGGCGUGCUUAACACAUGCCAGUCGAACGGAAAGGCCCAAGCUUGCUUGGGUACUCGAGUGGCGAACGGGUGAGUAACACGUGGGUGAUCUGCCCUGCACUUCGGGAUAAGCCUGGGAAACUGGGUCUAAUACCGGAUAGGACGAUGGUUUGGAUGCCAUUGUGGAAAGUUUUUUCGGUGUGGGAUGAGCUCGCGGCCUAUCAGCUUGUUGGUGGGGUAAUGGCCUACCAAGGCGUCGACGGGUAGCCGGCCUGAGAGGGUGUACGGCCACAUUGGGACUGAGAUACGGCCCAGACUCCUACGGGAGGCAGCAGUGGGGAAUAUUGCACAAUGGGCGCAAGCCUGAUGCAGCGACGCCGCGUGGGGGAUGACGGCCUUCGGGUUGUAAACUCCUUUCGCUAGGGACGAAGCGUUUUUGUGACGGUACCUGGAGAAGAAGCACCGGCUAACUACG
rnacentral:rRNA from 1 species